UACGUAGGGCGCAAGCGUUGUCCGGAUUUAUUGGGCGUAAAGAGCUCGUAGGCGGUCUGUCGCGUCGGCUGUGAAACCCCGAGGCUCAACCUCGGGCCUGCAGUCGAUACGGGCAGACUAGAGUGUGGUAGGGGAGACUGGAAUUCCUGGUGUAGCGGUGAAAUGCGCAGAUAUCAGGAGGAACACCGGUGGCGAAGGCGGGUCUCUGGGCCGAUAUUGACGCUGAGGAGCGAAAGCGUGGGGAGCAAACAGG
rnacentral:rRNA from 1 species